CAGGGGUGUGGACGGUACCACACCUCAAUCCUCACAGCCUCUGUCUCCCACUGCCCAGGCUGGCCAAGAAGUCCUGGUUUGGGAACUUCAUCAGCCUGGAGAAGGAGGAGCAGAUCUUCGUGGUCAUCAAAGACAAACCUCUGAGCUCCAUCAAGGCUGACAUCGUGCACGCCUUCCUGUCGAUUCCCAGUCUCAGCCACAGCGUCAUCUCCCAAACGAGCUUCCGGGCCGAGUACAAGGCCACUGGGGGGCCAGCCGUGUUCCAGAAGCCGGUCAAGUUCCAGGUUGAUAUCACCUACACGGAGGGUGGGGAGGCGCAGAAGGAGAACGGCAUCUACUCCGUCACCUUCACCCUGCUCUCAGGUGAGCUGGCGCCCCCGGGGCGGCUCCCGGCCCAGGCCCGUCCAGGGCGUAACCCCCUGUCUUCCCUAGGCCCCAGCCGUCGCUUCAAGAGGGUGGUGGAGACCAUCCAGGCCCAGCUGCUGAGCACACACGACCCGCCCGCGGCCCAGCACUUGUCAGACACCACUAACUGUAUGGAAAUGAUGACGGGGCGGCUUUCCAAAUGUGGUAAGAAUCCCCCACGCUCACCUGGCACCUCCACCUGCCACUUCACCGCUCACCCUCAGCCCGCUGUGGCCGCCACCUGCCGCCCGGGUUGUCCCGGCCUCCCUGUGUAGAUGUAGGCACCCAGCAGCCCAGAUCCGGCCCCAUCCUCUACCAGGAGCAGCCCAGGUCGCUCCCCCACCACAGCAAGCCCAGGCGGGGUUCCUG
rnacentral:sRNA from 1 species